AGCAGUGAGGAAUAUUGGACAAUGGGCGCAAGCCUGAUCCAGCCAUGCCGCGUGCAGGAUGACGGUCCUAUGGAUUGUAAACUGCUUUUAUACGGGAAGAAACCCUGGCUCGUGAGCCAGAUUGACGGUACCGUAGGAAUAAGGAUCGGCUAACUCCGUGCCAGCAGCCGCGGUAAUACGGAGGAUCCAAGCGUUAUCCGGAAUCAUUGGGUUUAAAGGGUCCGUUUAUAAGUCAGUGGUGAAAUCCGGUAGCUCAACUAUCGAACUGCCAUUGAUACUGUAGAACUUGAAUUGCUGUGAAGUAACUAGAAUAUGUAGUGUAGCGGUGAAAUGCUUAGAUAUUACAUGGAAUACCAAUUGCGAAGGCAGGUUACUAACAUCAUAUUGACGCUGAUGGACGAAAGCGUGGGGAGCGAACAGGAUUAGAUACCCUGGUAGUCCACGCCGUAAACGAUGGAUACUAGCUGUUUGGUAGCAAUACUGAGUGGCUAAGCGAAAGUGAUAAGUAUCCCACCUGGGGAGUACGAACGCAAGUUUGAAACUCAAAGGAAUUGACGGGGGCCCGCACAAGCGGUGGAGCAUGUGGUUUAAUUCGAUGAUACGCGAGGAACCUUACCAGGGCUUAAAUGUAGAUUGACAGACUUGGAAACAGGUUUUUCUUCGGACAAUUUACAAGGUGCUGCAUGGUUGUCGUCAGCUCGUGCCGUGAGGUGUCAGGUUAAGUCCUAUAACGAGCGCAACCCCUGUCGUUAGUUGCCAGCGAGUCAUGUCGGGAACUCUAACGAGACUGCCGGUGCAAACCGUGAGGAAGGUGGGGAUGACGUCAAAUCAUCACGGCCCUUACGUCCUGGGCUACACACGUGCUACAAUGGCCGGUACAGAGAGCAGCCACUGGGCGACCAGGAGCGAAUCUACAAAACCGGUCACAGUUCGGAUCGGAGUCUGCAACCCGACUCCGUGAAGCUGGAAUCGCUAGUAAUCGGAUAUCAGCCAUGAUCCGGUGAAUACGUUCCCGGGCCUUGUACACACCGCCCGUCAAGCCAUGGAAGCUGGGGGUACCUGAAGUCGGUGACCGCAAGGAGCUGCCUAGGGUAAAACUGGUAACU
rnacentral:rRNA from 1 species